GGGGUUGUGGCUCAGUGGUAGAGUGCUCACCUCGCAGUUGUGAGACCCUAAAUUCGAUCCUCAGCACCACA
rnacentral:tRNA from 1 species